AUGGGAUUAGAGGUCUGGAACUAGGACAAGAAUAACUUUUUCCUACAUGAAAUGACUUCUCUGGGAGGGAAACAGAACAGUAGAAAGUUACGAGUCUAUCUGCUUGUUAGACAAGACUCAUUAAUGUCCAAGGCUAUCUGUAGGAUACAGAUAUGAUGUUGUCUAUUGCCAGCUGCCUUGCUCCGAGCUCUGGUUGGAAUCUGUGAACUUCAGAGGCAAAGAUGGCAGUGUGGGAGGAGUGUGUGGCAGACAGAGGUACAUUACUUCCUACAGAAGAUAAGUUGCCUUCAGGCUCUUCACAUGCUGGCUUUCCACAAUGAGAUUGUUCCAACCACAGUGUUCUUCAAGACAGUUCAUUUAGAAGGCACAUCACUGGACCAGUACUGCAACAGAGAUGGAUAGGGACUAGCUGCAAGCAGUGUUGCACCCAUUGCAGUUUUG
rnacentral:lncRNA from 1 species